rnacentral:tRNA from 1 species
UGGCAGAGCGUCUGUUUUGUAAGCAGAAGGUCGUCAGUUCAAUCCUGGCAAGUGGCU